UAAAGUAGUAAUAGUUAAGAUCUUGAAACUUAAAAAAUUUGGCGGUAUUUUAGUCUAUUCAGAGGAACUUGUUUUAUAAUCGAUAUUCCACGAUGAACCUUACUUAAUUUUGUUAUCAGUUUAUAUACCGUCGUUAUUAGAAUAUUUUAUAAGAAUUUUUAAUUUUCUGAAUUUUUAAUAAAAAAAAUAUAUCAGAUCAAGGUGUAGCUUAUAUUUAAGUAAAAAUGAGUUACAAUAAAAUUAUUUAAAUGAAUAUAAAUUUGAAAUAUUUAUUGAAGGUGGAUUUGAUAGUAAAUUUAUAUAGAUUAAUAAU
rnacentral:rRNA from 1 species